rnacentral:rRNA from 1 species
CCUACGGGGGGCAGCAGUGAGGAAUAUUGGUCAAUGGCCGCAAGCCUGAACCAGCCAAGUCGCGUGAAUGAAGAAGGCUCUAUGGUUUGUCAACUUCUUUUAUAGGGGAAUAAAGGUAUCCACGUGUGGCUUUUUUUAUGUACUUUAUGAAUAAGCAUCGGCUAACUCCGUGCCAGCAGCCGCGGUAAUACGGAGGAUGCGAGCGUUAUCCGGAUUUAUUGGGUUUAAAGGGAGCGUAGGUUGUUUAUUAAGUCAGAGGUGAAAGUUUGUGGCUCAACCAUAAAAUUGCAGUUGAUACUGGAAGACUUGAGUGUGGUUGAGGUAGGCGGAAUGCGUGGUGUAGCGGUGAAAUGCAUAGAUAUCACGAAGAACUCCGAUUGCGAAGGCAGCUGACUAAACCGCAACUGACACUGAGGCGCGAAAGCGUGGGGAUCAAACAGGAUUAGAUACCCUUGUAGUC